GGGGGCGUCACGGUUUCGACGGGAUUGUUUGCGGCAAAGAGGCAUGCCGGGGUGUGAGCACCCGUAAUCGCUUGCAAAAACAGAAUUGCCAACACUGAAUUCGCACUCGCAGCUUAAUUAAUUAAUCUGCCGUCUGCCUGAGCUUCGCCUGUGGGCCCAGAUCAGACGUCAUACAGCAGGCUGGCUUCACACCUUCGGUCCGUAGGGGUGCGGCGAGAUCAUCGGACUAGCGCCUGACUCACCUUGUCCGUUCUGAGGGUCAGGAGCGAAGGCACUGGAACGAGACUGAGCAUGGAGCCUCUCUUUGUUACCGGCAGUUUCGGACGCGGGUUCGACUCCCGCCGCCUCCACCA
rnacentral:tmRNA from 1 species